UCCGUAGGUGAACCUGCGGAAGGAUCAUUAAAUAAUUUAGAUGGCCUUUGCUAGUUUUCUAGCGAAUGGUUCAUUCUUUUUUACUGUGAACUGUUUUAAUUUUUCAGCGUCUGAGGAAUGUCUUUUAGCCAUAGGGAUAGGCUACUAGAACGUUAACCGAGCUGAAAGUCAGGCUUAGGCCUGGUAUCCUAUUAAUUAUUUACCAAAAGAAUUCAGUAUUAUAAUUGUAACAUAAGCGUAAAAAACUUAUAAAACAACUUUUAACAACGGAUCUCUUGGUUCUCGCAUCGAUGAAGAACGUAGCAAAGUGCGAUAACUAGUGUGAAUUGCAUAUUCAGUGAAUCAUCGAGUCUUUGAACGCAACUUGCGCUCAAUGGUAUUCCAUUGAGCACGCCUGUUUCAGUAUCAAAAACACCCCACAUUCAUAAUUUUGUUGUGAAUGGAAAUGAGAGUUUCGGCUUUAUUGCUGAAUUCUUUAAAAUUAUUAGGCCUGAACUAUUGUUCUUUCUGCCUGAACAUUUUUUUAAUAUAAAGGAAUGCUCUAGUAAAAAGACUAUCUCUGGGGCCUCCCAAAUAAAUCAUUCUUAAAUUUGAUCUGAAAUCAGGCGGGAUUACCCGCUGAACUUAAGCAUAUCAAUAAGCGGAGAAUC
rnacentral:rRNA from 2 species